rnacentral:rRNA from 1 species
GAUGAACGCUGGCGGCGUGCUUAACACAUGCAAGUCGAACGGAAAGGCCCAAGCUUGCUUGGGUACUCGAGUGGCGAACGGGUGAGUAACACGUGGGUGAUCUGCCCUUCACUUCGGGAUAAGCCUGGGAAACUGGGUCUAAUACCGGAUAGGACCUCAUGUUGCAUGGUGUGGUGGAAAGUUUUUCGGUGUGGGAUGAGCUCGCGGCCUAUUGGCUUGUUGGUGGGGUAAUGGCCUACCAAGGCGUCGACGGGUAGCCGGCCUGGGAGGGUGUACGGCCACCUUGGGACUGAGGUACGGCCCCGGCUCCUACGGGGGGGCGCAGGGGGGAAUAUUGCCCAAGGGGCGCAAGGCUGAUGCAGCGACGCCGCGGGGGGGAAGACGGCCUUCGGGUUGUAAACUCCUUUCGCUAGGGACGAAGCGUUAUGUGACGGUACCUGGAGAAGAAGCACCGGCUAACUACGUG